rnacentral:rRNA from 1 species
UAAAGAUCCGUCGGAUGGGGAUAGGCUCGCGUGACAUUAGCUAGACGGCGGGGUAACGGCCCACCGUGGCGACGAUGUCUAGGGGUUCUGAGAGGAAGGUCCCCCACACUGGAACUGAGACACGGUCCAGACUCCUACGGGAGGCAGCAGUGAGGAAUAUUGGUCAAUGGCCGGAAGGCUGAACCAGCCAUGCCGCGUGAAGGUCAGUGCCCUAUGGGCGUUAAACUUCUUUUGUGCGGGAGCAAUAAUGGUCACGUGUGGCCAGACGAGAGUACCGUACGAAUAAGCAUCGGCUAACUCCGUGCCAGCAGCCGCGGUAAUACGGGGGAUGCAAGCGUUAUCCGGAUUUAUUGGGUUUAAAGGGUGCGUAGGCUGUGAGGUAAGUCAGCGGUGAAAUGCCCCCGCUCAACGGGGUGAAGUGCCAUUAAUACUGCCUUGCUGGAAUGCGGAUGCCGUGGGAGGAAUGUGUGGUGUAGCGGUGAAAUGCAUAGAUAUCACACAGAACACCGAUUGCGAAGGCAUCUCACGAAUCCGCGAUUGACGCUGAUGCACGAAAGCGUGGGUAUCAAACAGGAUUAGAUACCCUGGUAGUCCACGCUGUAAACGAUGAUGACUAACCGUCGGCGAUACACAGUCG